rnacentral:lncRNA from 1 species
UUGUAUUAGCUUUAGUACAAAAUUGCACUAAACUUGAGACAUUUAUUUUGGGACGGAGGGAGUAUUAAGGGACGAUGCGGCAUGAGUGAUUAACCAUCUGAAGACGUGCAGCUAACUCGAUCCAUUUUAUGUGGUUGAUCAAUAGAACAGGAAUUCUCGUGGCAGUGUCGAGUGGGGCGGCGGGAUGAUCUGGCCAUGCACGAUGAAGGGUAACUUAGUCAUUUUAUGAAGGAUAUUUUGGGCAGGGGAAAUAUCUUCGAGCAUGCUGUGGAUGCUGUUUCUUUUUCGCUUGGUCGUAUUAGAUGUCAUGCUAUGGUUCGGUUUGCUUAUGAAGAAGCUGCUGCGAAGGUUGUUUCUCUUUCGUUCAGUUGUAUUAAGAUGUCGUCCGGGCUACAUCAUGGCAUGCAUGGCUGCUGAUUUAAGAAACAUCUAGUUUCGGUGAUUUUAAUUAAUCAUGCUAUUGAUCUUAAUUGUAGGCACUUUACCAGCUUAGUAGAUCCUGUCUGAUGGGAGUGCCACUCAAACUUGCAUUGCUUUGUAAGGACAACCACAAUCUUGACUGGUGAAUGCCACUAUUUGCAUCCAUGCGCAAGUGUUACAAUGUUCUUGAUUUUUUUUUUGCGGGGAUGUUCUUCUUGAUCUCUAUGUCUGUGAAACCUCAUUUAAGUCACUUUGAUCGAAUUGCUCAGAUCAGGUAUGCCCCCCUGUUGGGAACAAACCUCCUAAAUCACACUGCAUCAU